rnacentral:rRNA from 1 species
GUCUUUUAAAUUUUUUUAAAAGUUUAACCUGCCCAUUGAAAAUUUUUAAAAGGCCGCAAUAUUUUAAUUGUGCGAAGGUAGCAUAAUCAUUAGGUUUUUAAUUGAAAUCUUGUAUGAAUGGUUGAAUGAGAUAUAAGCUGUUUUAAUUUUAAUAAUGAAAUUUAUUUUUUAGUAAAAAAGCUAAAAUAAAAAAAAAAGACGAGAAGACCCUAUAGAGUUUAAUAAAUAAUUUUUAAUUAUUAUUUAUAAAAUUUUUAUUUUUAUAAAAAAUUUAUUUUAUUGGGGUGAUAUUAAAAUUUAAUUAACUUUUAAUUGAAUAAAUCAAUAAUAUUUGUUUAAUUGAUCUUAUAUUAUAGAUUAAAAAUAUAAAUUACCUUAGGGAUAACAGAAUAAUUUUUUUAUAAAGUUCUUAUUUAUAAGAAAGAUUAUUACCUCGAUGUUGAAUUAAGAAAAAUAAUAGGUGUAGAAGUUUAAUUAUUAAGUCUGUUCGACUUUUAAAUUCUU